GCGUCUCAGAGGUCAAACACAG
rnacentral:miRNA from 1 species